CAUAUCUAUGAUGUCAAGUAGCUUUACUGUCAUCGCAAGCUGGUACACAGUGAAACAAAAAACAUUAAUUCUGGACCAUUGUACUACAUAAAACUACACAGUGAAGGACAGUGCAGCACAAACAGUACACAGUUCAAGUAAAGAAUAUUUUAUUGUCAUUUUAACCACAUUUAGCUAACACAGUAUAUAGUGAAAUGAACAAUGUGUUUUAAAGUAAGUUAUUAAGUAAGUAUGUAAGUCAUAAAAUGCGUCAUGUGCAUCCUAGUCCAAACAGUGCGAGACAGAAGACAGUGCAGACAGACAAUACAGAACACAAAAUAGUGCAGACCAGUAUACCUACUGUAACUGAGCAUUUGUGCAAAAUAAGAGUAUUGUAAACAAUAAGAUAACAUACACAUAUAUAAUAUUAGCAGCUGGUGGUAGCAUCGAAUUGAUGUGUGCAAAAGAGCAUGUAAAUAGUGCUAUAUGAGUGGUGUUGUAAAAUGGAUGCAUAUCGAAUGUGUGUGUGUGUGUGUGUGUGUGGGGUUGUGUGUAUCAGUUCAGAAUAGUUCAGUUUAGGGUGUUGAAGAGUCUGAUGGAUUGAGAAAAGAAACUGUUACACUGUCUGGUUAUGAGGCUGGAAUGAUUCUGAACCUUUUUCCGGAUGGCAGCAGGGUAAAGAGUGUGUGUAUGUCAGUAAAGUAUUCUUUAAUUCAGGUGCAUGAAGGCCAGAUGAAGGGUUGUGGCAAUGGCAUGGUCUGUGGAGCGGUUUGGACUACAGUAUAUGCAAACUGCACCGGAUCCAGUGAAAGUGGAAGCAGGGUCUUGAUGUGCCUUAUGACAAAAGUCUCGAAGCACAUUUCAAUGGGUGUGAGUAUGAUGGGAUAUUAGUCUUUGAGGCAGGACACUGUAGACUUCUUUGACACAGGGAAAAUGGUUGUGGACUUUAGGUAUGUAUGGUAACAAUGGUGCUGCUCAGGGAAAUGUCAGGAAGGUCAAAUGCUGGCUGCACAUUCCCUGAGCACUCUGCCAGGAAUGUUGUCUGGAACAGCUGACUUCUGUCAAUUAACUCUGCAUAGAGUUGUUUUCACAUCAGUUGUGGUUAUACAGAGCACCUGGUCAUUGGGAGGAGGCAUGGUCUUCCUCACCCCCACAUUGUUCUGCACCUAUGCUCUGAAGGCGGAGUCUCUUUACUUCAAAAGCUCAUGCACUUUUGCAGUCAUCCACAGCUCCUGUUUGAAGCAUGUGGUGGUCUUGGAGACUGUCAUGUCAUGGAUGCCGAUGUAGCUGGUCACUGAUCUUCAAAUUGGUGGAAUCUUUGUUGGUUGCAGCCUCACCGACUACGACCACUGAUAUUUACAAACUUAAUGACGGAUGAGAAGGAACUAGAUUCAAGCGGAGAGUUCUUGCACCAAUCCUUGUUGAUGUGAAAACACAAGCCACCGCUGUGAGCCUUAGUGCACAAUUCUUUUGGCAUGAAAUGAGGUGAGCCCAUCUUUUAGUGUGGAAUAAAGUACAAGAGUAUUACAAUAAAAUCAUAAAUGCUGUAAAUUGGGGAGCAAAGUUGUUUAGUGGUUAGCAAAAAUGCUACAGAAAAUAGAUGAAUGCUGUAAAUGUAAACAUUCCAUAAGUAUUCAUAGUAAAAAUGUAUAGUAUUUGGUUUAAGCAGCAAUUUAGGAAAAACAUUUUCAAAAUCUAAAAAAUUACAAGAGAACUUGAACAGUGUUGGAGUCAGACUAGACUUUUACUAGAUACUUAUGGACAGUAUUAUGGAGUCUGAGGGCUUGGUAAAAGAAACUUACACAGUCUGAUUGUGAAAACCUAAAUGGUUCGGUACCUUUUCCAGGGUUUGUAUGAAUAACCUGUUGGGGGUGUUUUUGAGUGAGACUCAGUCAGUGGAGGAAGAGAUACAAGGUACUUCUUUUUCUGCAUUGUGUAAUCUGAUGUCAGGUGUUACAGAAAAGCCCCAUACAUCUUGAGGUAUGUGGCUGGAUAGAUCAGUCACUGAAGGUGAUCCAGAAACACCUUAAAUCAUCAUAGAGUAGAUGAGAGACUAUACAGGAUAGUUUUCAUCUUACCUCUCAUCCACAUCUCAGUCACUGCCUCCACACUGUCCCGUUCCAUCCCCACCAGAGAGCUGACCUUCCUCAUCAGAUUGCCCAGUUUGGUGGCAACACCAUUCCCAAUGCCAACCCAAGCAUUCAAUAGAAAAAGAAAAUAAUAAUUUAUCAAGUAAAAAUCUCAUUUAAAUGUAUUUUAUGAUGGACUGAUUAACAAUUUGCAUAAGCUCUUUGCAUAGAUGCGUCAUUGCACUGGUCAUGUCUGCUGCGACAAGAUAACUUUAGACACAAAGUUAUUAAUGAAAACCUCUUAAUGAAAUUUAUGUCAUGGACAAUCGUGCACCUGAACUACCAUAGACUUUCCUUCUGCCUCAUGAAUACAUGCCAAUUUUAAAAGUUCAAUGAUGGAGAUCCGAUUGCAAGACCUACCUGUCAACAGAAGCUCAAAGGCAUGUAAAUAUGCACAAGUAGUUUGCUUGUGGAAGAAAAACAGCCUGCUCAGUCAGACAGCUCUCAGAAGAACAGUGAGGUGUGUUAGUGCUGCAAGACUGAUCAUCUACCUCCUUCAGAUUUUAGUGAAUCCUCCAGCAACACAUAAGCAAUGAAGCAUCAUCUUUUUGUGCUCCUGCUUUUCAAAGGAGUCCUUACCCUUGUCCUGUCUUUCUCUCGUAAGUACUAUCUGAUCCAGCAGAGCAAAACAUGGAACGAUGCUAAGGCUUUCUGCCGAGCCACAUACACUGACCUGGCUAUCAUCAAAACUAAUGAAGAGAUCGCUCAAAUUCAGAACGUAUCACAGACACAAAAAUUCGGAUCCAAUGCUUGGAUUGGACUGUACACUAACAUCAACAAGUGGCAAUGGACAUUGGACAAUGAGCCACUUGGAAGCUUUAAACCUUGGGCUAAUGGGGAGCCUAAUAACUUGCUAGGAGAUGAAACUUGUGUCAGUAUUAUCCAUAUGGUAUGGGUUGAUGUACCAUGUGGAUGGCUGACACCAUUGGUGUGCUUUGAUGGUGAGGAAGAACAUGUUAUUUUAUAUGAACUAUUUAUGGAAUAUUUCUAAUAAUACACUUUAGUAAUAUGAGUAUUUUAUUUUUGAGUUUAAAAUCUCAGUGAAUUAUAUAUAUGCUAAAGUGUGUCAGGCUUGAAAAUUUGUGUGGGGAAGGAGGCCAGAGGAGGCAGGCUUUGGAUAGAGAAAUAAUAAUACGACAGACAUGUUUAUUUUUAUCCUGAUGAUUAUCUUUCAAUAGUAGAAGAUGAUAUGCUUAGAUUGAAUAUUUACAUAAGGAGGUUUUAAUCUUGUGUUUGUUGGUUAUCACAGACAGGAAGACUGGAGCUGACAGGUACAUUCUUAUUAUUCAGUCUAUGACAUGGUAUGAUGCUCGGAGCUACUGUAGGCUGCAUCAUACAGACCUGACCAGUGUGAGAAACCCAACAGAACACUCAAUUGUUGCGGCAUUAAACAAUGGGUUCACUUGGAUUGGCCUUGUGAGAGACCCCUGGUAUUGGACAGACCAGACCACCAACGUGUCCGUCAUUAAGUGGUCGCCUGGAAACGCUGAUGAUUAUCUGAUGAAUAAAAGUUGUGUCUAUUUAAAUGGUGGUCAAGCUAAUGUAGAACAGUGCUCAAACAUGAUGCCUUUCUUCUGUUGCUGUAAGUUGAAAUUAAAUUCAGUCUCAUGUUAAUGUAAUUUAAGUUGAUUUUUGAAUGUGGUGUUAAUUUUCUAUAUUUGUUUCUGUUUCUGCCUCCAGUAUUCCCAACACAGAAGAUCAUAAGAAUGAAGUUGAAGUCCAGUCAGGAUGUGAAUGAUCCUACAAUAAUGACAGCUAUCGAGGAGAAGCUGAAGCAGAAACUGAAGGAUUAUGGAAUGGCUGAGAACAUCACUGUGACAUGGAGAAAGCAACCAGAUGGAGUGGUGUUUCACAAGGAGGAGGAAAACAUUACUGCAGUGACUAACACUAGGGAGACUUGUGAUCUCUAAAUCUCAUAUAGUGUAAAUUCUGUAGUGCACUGAUUACUUUUAGUUUGAGGACACAUAGUGUGUAAUAUUUUAGAGUUGUUAAGUAGUACUUUUACUAGUAAAAGAUCCCUGAGUUACUAAUGUCUGUAAAUGCUGUCACAAAUACAUGAGCAUGUAUGCUAAAUCGUUGCUUGUAUCAGUACGGGAUUUUUUCACUUCUGCUUGUAAGACAGUUGGUUUAGAUUUGAUUUUAUUAACUGUUUCUUCUUUCUUUAGAUUUCAAUCUGACACUGAAUGUUAUGUUGUAUUAUAGUACAUUCAUUCAUUGUACAUAAACCAACAGCCCUCUAUAUGAUCUAGAAUAUUUAUUUAGUUUUACUGAGUCUGAUUGUCCUGAGAACAUCGGACAGAUACAAAAACUCUGAUAGACUUUACUACUUUAGUGCAUUUUUAUUCCCUUUCACUGAAAAUAUGGAUGAAGAACUAAUCAGAUUGACUUGUCAGCUUUUGCUAAGAAUGUUAACUAUUUAAAAUAAAAAGAUUCUGCACAGAACUUAAAGAAAGAAAAACUGAAAUCUAACUAAUU